rnacentral:rRNA from 1 species
GAUGAACGCUGGCGGCGUGCUUAACACAUGCAAGUCGAACGGUGAAGCAGAGCUUGCUCUGUGGAUCAGUGGCGAACGGGUGAGUAACACGUGAGCAAUCUGCCCCUGACUCUGGGAUAACAGUUGGAAACAGCUGCUAAUACCGGAUACGAGCUGCGAAGGCAUCUUCGGCAGCUGGAAAGAAUUUCGGUCAGGGAUGAGCUCGCGGCCUAUCAGCUUGUUGGUGAGGUAAUGGCUCACCAAGGCGUCGACGGGUAGCCGGCCUGAGAGGGUGACCGGCCACACUGGGACUGAGACACGGCCCAGACUCCUACGGGAGGCAGCAGUGGGGAAUAUUGGACAAUGGGCGAAGGCCUGAUCCAGCAACGCCGCGUGAGGGAUGACUGCCUUCGGGUUGUAAACCUCUUUCAGCGGGGACGAAGCGAAAGUGACGGUACCCGCAGAAGAAGCACCGGCCAACUACGUGCCAGCCGCCGCCGUAACAC